GGCCCCGUGGCGCAGUUGGUUAGCGCGUCGGCCUGUCACGCCGAAGGUCGCGGGUUCAAGUCCCGUCGGGGUCGCCA
rnacentral:tRNA from 1 species